rnacentral:tRNA from 1 species
GUUCUUAUAGCUCAACUGGAUAGAGCAAUUGCCUCCUAAGCGAUAGGUUUCCGGUUCAAGUCCGGAUAAGAACGCCA